UGAACAAGGAAUUGUUGAUGGACGCGGC
rnacentral:sRNA from 1 species